rnacentral:rRNA from 1 species
UGGGGAAUCUUCCGCAAUGGGCGAAAGCCUGACGGAGCAACGCCGCGUGAGUGAAGACGGCCUUCGGGUUGUAAAGCUCUGUUAUAUGGGACGAACGGAUACGGUGCCAAUACCACCGUAUCGUGACGGUACUGUAAGAGAAAGCCACGGCUAACUACGUGCCAGCAGCCGCGGUAAUACGUAGGUGGCAAGCGUUGUCCGGAAUUAUUGGGCGUAAAGGGCGUGCAGGCGGCCAGGCAAGUCUGUCUUAAAAGUGCGGGGCUUAACCCCGUGAUGGGAUGGAAACUGUCAGGCUAGAGUGUCGGAGAGGAAAGCGGAAUUCCUAGUGUAGCGGUGAAAUGCGUAGAUAUUAGGAGGAACACCAGUGGCGAAAGCGGCUUUCUGGACGACAACUGACGCUGAGGCGCGAAAGCCAGGGGAGCAAACGGGAUUAGAUACCCCGGUAGUCCUGGCCGUAAACGAUGGGUACUAGGUGUAGGAGGUAUCGACCCCUUCUGUGCCGGAGUUAACGCAAUAAGUAUCCCGCCUGGGGAGUACGGCCGCAAGGCUG